UACAGAGGUCUCAAGCGUUGUUCGGAAUGACUGGGCGUAAAGGGCGCGUAGGUGGCCUGUGGAAGUCUGCGGUGAAAGCCCGGCGCUCAACGCCGGGUCGGCCGUGGAUACUCUCGGGCUUGAGCUUACUAGAGGCAGAUGGAAUUCCGGGUGUAGCGGUGGAAUGCGUAGAGAUCCGGAAGAACACCGGUGGCGAAGGCGGUCUGCUGGGGUAAUGCUGACACUGAUGCGCGACAGCGUGGGGAGCAAACAGGG
rnacentral:rRNA from 1 species